AUUGCUUCUCGGCCUUUUGGCUAAGAUCAAGUGUAAUAUCUGUUCUUAUCAGGAAUUACAUUCAAACCACAUACGCUGUAUAGGAAGAAUUUUUUUUUUAACUUAUGUUAGAAGUCAACACAUUUU
rnacentral:snRNA from 1 species